rnacentral:rRNA from 1 species
GAUCCUGGCUCAGGAUGAACGCUGGCGGCGUGCCUAAUACAUGCAAGUCGAACGCUUCACUUCGGUGAAGAGUGGCGAACGGGUGAGUAAUACAUAAGUAACCUGGCAUCUACAGGGGGAUAACUGAUGGAAACGUCAGCUAAGACCGCAUAGGUGUAGAGAUCGCAUGAACUCUAUAUGAAAAGUGCUACGGGACUGGUAGAUGAUGGACUUAUGGCGCAUUAGUUUG